GACGUAGGGCGCGAGCGUUGUCCGGAAUUAUUGGGCGUAAAGAGCUCGUAGGCGGCUUGUCGCGUCGACUGUGAAAACCCGCGGCUCAACCGUGUGGCUUGCAGUUGAUACGGGCAGGCUAGAGUUCGGUAGGGGAGACUGGAAUUCCUGGUGGAGCGGUGAAAUGCGUUGAGAUCGGAAGGAACGCCCGUGGCGAAAGCGAGCCCCUGGACGUCUACUGACGCUGAGACGCGAAAGCCAGGGGAGCGAACGGG
rnacentral:rRNA from 1 species